AGCUUAACUUCUGCAACCACAGAGGUGAACCAGCUUGACAUUGCAAAGGACUGGGAACACACACUGCCAGAGAUCAGCUCUCAGCUGGCAAGGAUUUGGCCACAUUUAUCUCACUGUCUCCUCUUGGAGGAUGUGUCUUGCUGGAAUUGGCCUGCCUCAGUCCCACAGAGACUACAGGAAGGGUGACCUUCGAGCUCAAAGCCACAUUCCAGGGAAAGCUUCUGAUGCGGAGGAACUUGUCUCUAAUGAGAGGAAGGAAUUUGUCAUUGCCUAACUAGAGUCUCCUUCGCAAGCUGAGACUUAAUUCUCUGGCAUGGCAUGUUCUAAGCCUUUCACAUUCUCCUACUGAUUUUCAAACCCAAAACCAAGAUGGAAGCAACUGUCUCCUUGACCCCAAGUUUUCCAUCUACAGUAGGAGAGUGACUGUGUUAUAGGAAGGCUUUAAAAUGCCCAGAGACCAGCUAGAUUAUAUCUUGGUCCUGACUCUGUGCAUGAAAUUGAGCUAUAUUUUUCCACAGGCUCUAGGACUGAUCAAGAUAGGUGCAUUAUAGAAACAAAUUUUAAAAUAUAGGUCUAUGAAAAGAAACACAUAGGGCUUUGAAAUAUGUUCUUUAUCUAAUUUGUAAGAUCUUGAACUCACAAAUUUAUAAUGGGAUCAGCUAUUACUAUAGCUUGCCAGAGCUCUGUGGAGUAAGAACAAACACACUGAAAUAUUUCAUAAUAUAAAUGGGUCCAUUGCUAAGUCUACAUACUGCUACUUACUGUCAUUGGGACCAUGCUCUUUGACCUGAGCUACAUGUGUCAUUACAGUAGCAAUGAGAUGUCUGUUGCUCAGCUUCCAAGACUUCCUCUACUGACUUCCUUCUUUUUUUACUGAGAUCUUAUAGGAGAGAGCCCAAUCCACUUAUCUGCCCAGUGCUGAACUCAUAAUGCUGCUUGCAAAAGCAAAUGUGAGGUGGGAGUGAAGGAUUCAGCCAGGAUGGCCAUGGCAAUGCCCAUCCUCUGCAAACUGUGUAUAGGGCACAGCUGGCUCUGGGCCGAGGGAGAGUGGGAGCUUUGCCUUUCCUCCUCUGGUUAUGGCCACAGGCUCUGCUUGAGCAGGGGCUGGUUUCCAAACAGCCUUUUGUGAAGUGAAUAUGAACUGAGCUUGUGUUUAGGAACAAGCUUAGAUGCCCGUGUAUUCAUACAUUCAGUGUUUCUGCUGGUACUUCAUUAUCUGUUGAAACAAAAGCUGUCCUGAAGCAAGGUUUGUCUGUAAAUACUUAAUGUUAUGGAGCAAGGUGUUUCUGCAGGAGGAAUAGAGGUGCCUCCCUGCAAAAAUAGAAAUGACAACUUUGGGUUUUUAAAAAACCUGAAAAACUGUUUUCAAGUAAAAUCUGGAAAUUGCUCUGACUCAUAGCUGAAGAAAAUAUGAUCACUUCCUUGCUGUUAUAAUGUGGGCAAUGGAACCAGCUGCACUGAGGCCUCCUCAGAUGUCUGGAACACAAGAUAUGGAAAACAGCGUUAAAUCUACCUGGAGAGGAAAACCAUCCUGCAGACCUGCAAGGAUAAGUUUUUGUUGGAUCGGAGUUCUAUAAACAUUGGAGCUGUAUUUGAACAAAUUCUAAAUCCUUCAGUUGUUGGGGGAAAGCCCCAUGAAAAGGCUGUACUCCUCAGCUAGUGGGACUAGCAGGAGCUUCAGCCAGGUCCCUGCACACCUCCCUCUAUGCCUAAAGUUACCGCAAAGAAGAGUACAGGCACUUAUGCAGGUGGUCCUCUGGGGACAAAGAUUAUCCAUGGCCUGGAAGAGGAUACACUUCAACAAAAAUUUUAAGGAUAGGCAUAUGCUAUUGGAGUGCCAAAGAGUGAAAAACAUGUAAAUGUCAAAUAUUCUCAUUAUUCUGUCCUUCUGUACAGUAUUAUUACCUUUUAGUCUCAUCUUUUUAGAAACAGUUCAAAAGCAUUAGGGUUAGGGUUUUUUUUGAGAUUGAAAUUAUAAAAUAAAAU